AACGCACCUUGCGCCCUUUGGCUAUUCCGAAGGGCAUGCCUGUUUGAGUAUCAUGAACACCUCAACUCCUCGUGGUUUGCCACGAUGGGCUUGGACUUUGGGGGCUUUGCCGGCUACUGUUGUCGGCUCCUCUCAAACAAAUCAGCUUGCCAGUGUUUGGUGGCGUCACAGGUGUGAUAACUAUCUACGCUUGUGGUCUCCCCACCAGGUAACCUUCAGCAAUGGAGGUUCACUGUGGCUCAUAAAUGUCUCUCCUCUGUGAAAGACGGCUUUUUUAACGUUUGAUCUCAAAUCAGGUAGGACUACCCGCUGAACUUAA
rnacentral:misc_RNA from 1 species